GACGAACUUUGGCGGCGUGCUUAACACAUGCAAGUCGAACGGAAAGGCCCUGCUUUUGUGGGGUGCUCGAGUGGCGAACGGGUGAGUAACACGUGAGUAACCUGCCCUUGACUUUGGGAUAACUUCAGGAAACUGGGGCUAAUACCGGAUAGGAGCUCCUGCUGCAUGGUGGGGGUUGGAAAGUUUCGGCGGUUGGGGACGGACUCGCGGCUUAUCAGCUUGUUGGUGGGGUAGUGGCUUACCAAGGCUUUGACGGGUAGCCGGCCUGAGAGGGUGACCGGCCACAUUGGGACUGAGAUACGGCCCAGACUCCUACGGGAGGCAGCAGUGGGGAAUAUUGCACAAUGGGCGGAAGCCUGAUGCAGCAACGCCGCGUGCGGGAUGACGGCCUUCGGGUUGUAAACCGCUUUCGCCUGUGACGAAGCGUGAGUGACGGUAAUGGGUAAAGAAGCACCGGCUAACUACGUGCCAGCAGCCGCGGUGAUACGUAGGGUGCGAGCGUUGUCCGGAUUUAUUGGGCGUAAAGGGCUCGUAGGUGGUUGAUCGCGUCGGAAGUGUAAUCUUGGGGCUUAACCCUGAGCGUGCUUUCGAUACGGGUUGACUUGAGGAAGGUAGGGGAGAAUGGAAUUCCUGGUGGAGCGGUGGAAUGCGCAGAUAUCAGGAGGAACACCAGUGGCGAAGGCGGUUCUCUGGGCCUUUCCUGACGCUGAGGAGCGAAAGCGUGGGGAGCGAACAGGCUUAGAUACCCUGGUAGUCCACGCUGUAAACGGUGGGUACUAGGUGUGGGGUCCAUUCCACGGGUUCCGUGCCGUAGCUAACGCUUUAAGUACCCCGCCUGGGGAGUACGGCCGCAAGGCUAAAACUCAAAGGAAUUGACGGGGCCCCGCACAAGCGGCGGAGCAUGCGGAUUAAUUCGAUGCAACGCGUAGAACCUUACCUGGGUUUGACAUGGAUCGGGAGUGCUCAGAGAUGGGUGUGCCUCUUUUGGGGUCGGUUCACAGGUGGUGCAUGCCUGUCGUCAGCUCGUGUCGUGAGAUGUUGGGUUAAGUCCCGCAACGAGCGCAACCCUUGUUCACUGUUGCCAGCACGUUAUGGUGGGGACUCAGUGGAGACCGCCGGGGUCAACUCGGAGGAAGGUGGGGAUGACGUCAAGUCCUCAUGCCCCUUAUGUCCAGGGCUUCACGCAUGCUACAAUGGCUGGUACAGAGAGUGGCGAGCCUGUGAGGGUGAGCGAAUCUCGGAAAGCCGGUCUCAGUUCGGAUUGGGGUCAGCAACUCGACCUCAUGAAGUCGGAGUCGCUAGUAAUCGCAAAUCAGCAACGCUGCGGUGAAUACGUUCCCGGGGC
rnacentral:rRNA from 1 species